GGCAGGGCAAAUAUUUACAACCCUCGUUUUACAGAAGAGAACAUUGGAACUUAGGGAGGUUUAAGGGAUGGCUGAGGGUCAGAACGUGGUCAGCACCAGAAGCAAGGCCUUUCAAUUGCAAGGUCAGGGUUCCUUCCACACUGGGACAAGAGGCAGCACCUGCAAGAUAAGUUGGAGUUUCCAUGGCACCCAGAAGACCAGGGAUCCUGAUAAUUUGUUGGUGCUGUAUAGAAGUGCAAUUCAUUGUUCAAUUCCCACCAGUGAUUGAGAACGUGCGGUGUUUGGUUUUUUGUCCUUGCGAUAGUUUGCU
rnacentral:lncRNA from 1 species